AUUGAACGCUGGCGGCAGGCCUAACACAUGCAAGUCGAACGGUAACAGGAAACAGCUUGCUGUUUCGCUGACGAGUGGCGGGCGGGUGAGUCAUGUCUGGGAAACUGCCUGAUGGAGGGGGAUAACUACUGGAAACGGUAGCUAAUACCGCAUAACGUCUCAAGACCAAAGAGGGGGGCCCUCUGGCCUCUUGCCAUCGGAUGUGCCCAGAUGGGAUUAGCUUGUUGGUGGGGUAACGGCUCACCAAGGCGACGAUCCCUAGCUGGUCUGAGAGGAUGACCAGCCACACUGGAACUGAGACACGGUCCAGACUCCUACGGGAGGCAGCAGUGGGGAAUAUUGCACAAUGGGCGCAAGCCUGAUGCAGCCAUGCCGCGUGUAUGAAGAAGGCCUUCGGGUUGUAAAGUACUUUCAGCGGGGAGGAAGGGAGUAAAGUUAAUACCUUUGCUCAUUGACGUUACCCGCAGAAGAAGCACCGGCUAACUCCGUG
rnacentral:rRNA from 1 species